AGAAACCCAAUACCUUGAACCUUGUUUGGUGGUUUGUCUUGCUAUCUCUGUAAGAUUCUCCUUAUCAUCAUCCAUGGAUAAAUAAGUUCCCAAAUGAAGAAGAGGAAGAAGGAAGUAGAAUGAAAUGCUCAUGUGUGGAUGCACUGUCACACUAACCAUGUGGGUGAUUGUGGUUUCAAGUUCCAAUGCUCCAUUAAAGUUUGUUAACGGCAAUAACUACCAACAGAGAAGUUAUUUUUCUUUUUAAUCCUUCUCUAUGAUGAAAUCCCAAACUAUCAAAUUUGAAAAUGGGAGCAAGAAUCUUUGAUGGCAGAACCAAUCAUGGCUACAAAUAGCUUUGGCAAAUCCCUUUUGCAGAUGCAGAAACUACCCUAGUCCCCCACUCCUUCCCAAAAAAUUGUGCUUUUAUAAAAAAUGGGAUCCUCUUCUUUGCAAAACGAGGGAUUUCUCUAUGGGGAAGCUUCUCCCUAGAUGCAACUGACUGCCUCAAGCAGAUUGUAGGCCUCAAACUUCGGCUUGAAUGCAAACCCUGGAUGAAAUUCAUAGAGCAUGCAGGGAAACCUGGGUGAAGAACCCAAAUUCGAUCAGUGGCUGUAGCAGAUUCCCAGAGGAGAACACCAUUUUUCCUGUCGACCAUGGAAACCAGCUCUGGUUCAGCACAUGGAAGCCUCCUGUCUUUUUUCUGUCUCACCAUGGAGAGAUGACCAUAUAUUAGAUGUGAGCUUGGAGAAGAAAUAAGCGUUCUUUAUGACUGCAAAAAAAAAAAAAAAAAAAUAGCAACAUAUGCAACAAGGAAGCAGUGUUAUGCUGCUUUGGUGUAGAUUAGCGAAACAAGUACCAGCAACCAUUUCCUGCCACGUCAAUGAUCGAGGCACCAACCAGAUUGGGUUGCUCCAAUGGCUCUCUACAUGUGGAGAAGUCCUAUUGAACACCUUUAUGUAAGAGUAUCUGGGAGAAAAUAUAGAUAGGAUUUUGUAUAAACUGUCAUUGAAAAAUAGUGUUUGUGAUUGUUUCACUGAGGAAACAAACAAGCUCUGGGGCUUUAGCAAUUUCAGCUGUUUCAAUAACCCCCCUUCUUCAUUGAAUGGGUGGCAAUGAGAUAUAUAACUGCAAGCUUUGCUUUAUGAAUUUCAUUUCCAACUUACAAGUAGGUAAGCACUACACAUACCAUUCAGCUGAUGUGAGUGGAGAAAUCAGAAUACCAGGUUUGAAUUCCUCAUCCAGCUGAUGACUGUUUCUGAAUUUGGGAAUGCUGCAGCUUCGGACAAUAAAGUGAACUUACAAGGUGUUGUUUGGUUUUUUCCAAGACUUCUCUCUCAAGGCUUAGUCCUCCUGAAAUGUGACAUUUUGUUUUCCCAGGAAGUUGUGGCCUACCAUAAUGAUGGGUGUGGGUCCGAUGGAUCACCGGCACAGGUAACUAUCAAGUGCUACUUGUAUUGUUAGAUUUGCACAUCUGAUUCCUGAGUUUAGCUAGGUUUCAUCAGGAGAGAACAGUGGCAAAUGAGUUCUGUUUUUGCCCCUUCCUAUUCCUGGUUUAAAUUCAUCCAUGAAGCUAUCUGUUCUGUCA